UACGAAGGGUGCAAGCGUUGCUCGGAAUUAUUGGGCGUAAAGGGUAGGUAGGUGGUUACGUAUGUCUGGGGUGAAAUCCCUGAGCUUAACUCAGGACGUGCCUUGGAAACGGCGUAACUAGAGUACUGGAGAGGUUCGUGGAAUUCCCGGUGUAGCGGUGAAAUGCGUAGAGAUCGGGAGGAACACCAGCGGCGAAGGCGGCGAACUGGACAGUAACUGACACUCAACUACGAAAGCGUGGGUAGCAAACAGG
rnacentral:rRNA from 1 species